UACAGGGGGUGCAAACGUUGCUCGGAAUCAUUGGGCGUAAAGAGCGUGUAGGCGGCCAGACAGGUCCGCUGUGAAAACUCGAGGCUCAACCUCGAGAUGUCGGUGGAAACCGUCUGGCUAGAGUCCGGAAGAGGAGAGCGGAAUUCCCGGUGUAGCGGUGAAAUGCGCAGAUAUCGGGAAGAACACCCGUGGCGAAGGCGGCUCUCUGGGACGGUACUGACGCUGAGACGCGAAAGCGUGGGGAGCGAACAGG
rnacentral:rRNA from 1 species